CCCUUAGAGUUUGAUCCUGGCUCAGGAUGAACGCUAGCUGGAGGCUUAAUACAUGCAAGUCGAGCGGGAUCCAUCCUUCGGGAUGGUGAGAGCGGCGCACGGGUGAGUAACGCGUACACGACCUACCUCUAACAGGGGGAUAGCCCUGGGAAACUGGGAUUAAUACCGCAUAUAAUUUAGAUUUUAAAGGUUCUAAAUGAAAGUUAAGGCGGUUAGAGAUGGGUGUGCGUCUGAUUAGCUAGUUGGUAGGGUAACGGCCUACCAAGGCGAUGAUCAGUAGGGGGCGUGAGAGCGUGGACCCCCACACGGGUACUGAGACACGGACCCGACUCCUACGGGAGGCAGCAGUAAGGAAUAUUGGUCAAUGGGCGCAAGCCUGAACCAGCCAUCCAGCGUGCAGGAAGAAGGCCCUAUGGGUUGUAAACUGCUUUUGUCAGGGAAUAAACCUUGGGAUUAACUCCUGAGCUGAAGGUACCUGAAGAAUAAGCACCGGCUAACUCCGUGCCAGCAGCCGCGGUAAUACGGAGGGUGCGAGCGUUAUCCGGAAUUACUGGGUUUAAAGGGUGCGUAGGCGGCCAGGUAAGUCAGGAGUGAAAGUUUGCGGCUCAACCGUAAAAUUGCUUUUGAUACUGCCAGGCUGGAA
rnacentral:rRNA from 1 species